GCCGACGUCGUUUCCAGCAAACGAGAACUCGCGCCAAUGACGACCAGCCGUGUGGAAUAUCUGACGUUGCUCCGUCUCACUGCCGUCCCUCCGCGUUAGCUCUCUCCCCGCUCCGCCGUCGACAUAUAUCCGUCUCUUUCCGGCUCCGGUCCCCGUCGGUUCCUUUCUUCAUCUUCUCCCAUUCACCGGGAGAUCGGACGCGGGGAGAUGCCCUCCGUCGGAUCCAGCCGGGAAAUGGAAGGGCAUGAAGCCGCCGCUGGGUUCGACCGCGUCCUGUUGCUGGCCUUCUGCGUCGUCGGCAUCUGGUCCGCCUACAUCUGCCAGGUCGUCCUGCAAGAAACUGUAUCGACCAAGCUAUUUGGGCCUGACGGGAAGCGGUUCGAGCACCUCUCCUUCUUGAACCUGGCGCAGAACGCGGUUUGCUUCUUGUGGUCCUUGAUCAUAGCGAUAAAACUGUGGUCGAGGAACUCUUCGGGGGUAGCUCCAUUGUGGAGCUACUGGAGCCCAAACAUCUCUAAUACCAUCGGUCCUUCCAUGGGAAUCGAAGCCUUGAAGUAUAUCAGUUAUCCCGCACAGCGACCAAACCUCAAAAGGCAUAGUGGCAAUAUGCAAGGCUUGCAUUUCAUCAAUCUUGGAUUAAGCACAUCGGGCGAAGUUGAUUAACACCACUAUGUAGAAGUUACGACUGUUUAAUGGAUUUGUUGGAGAGGAUCUCCCAAAAGGCAAAUCAUACAUCUACAUUAUAAUAUUAUGCUGAUGGGUACUCUUGUUUAUGGGAUCAAAUACACUAUCCCGGAGUACAUUUGCACAUUCCUUGUUGCCGGAGGGGUAUCAUCAUUUGCACUUUCGAAGGUCAGAUGGUUUCCUCUGUUUCCUGAUGUGGGAAAAUUUUUGACGAUUGUUUAUCAAUUGAAACAGAUAACCUAUCAUCCUGUUUUUUAAUAUGAUGUCCGGUUGGUUAGGAAUGAGUUUUAAUGUGUGAUAUCUUGCUAACACCACCAUCACUACUACCCGCAAGUUUGUCAGCAUCGUCGUCUCCUCUUUGAUAAGCGGUAAUCCCUUGUCCCCGAAGCAUUGGGCAAGUGUGGUAACGGUGUUCUCGGGGCUCUCUCUGCAGAUCUUCCUCAAGUGGAGGAAGAUCCAGCGAACAAAGAAGGGAAGAAAGGCCGCAUGAGGCCAACGUUGCACUCCUUUCUCUUUCUAUUAUAAUGUAAUAUGAUCGUCGUCGAGCAGGAGAGGGGCAUAACAGCGUCACUACCAUUCAGGCAGAUUUUUACGCUGAUGAGCAAUGCAAAUGCACCGAUCGUGUAACAAAUAUUUACUGCAAUCUUACCCCUCUUUUCGGAUACCCCAAUUUGUGGGAGACAGGCUAAGUCUAAUGCGAGGAGGAUAUUGUGGCAGGAAUGGUGAUCAUCGACCGGUAAGGAGAUUUUUGUUAUUGGGUACCCAUAAUUGGUUUCUUCGGAAAAAAAGUAGGCCUUUGUAUAAUGGGACCACCAAGUAAUGCCUUUAUUUUCUUUGUCAAGUUAAUUAAUUACCAUAGGCCUUUAUUUCGUGUCAUUGGUUACAUCUAAAUUAUACGCCUUAAACUAUUUUAA